GGGCAAUUACAAAGAGAAGCCCAAUAACGUACAUGCGAAAUAAGCGGCCCAGUUUACCCCUCUCGUACUCUUCAGAGAGAGAGAACCUCCGUUCUCCGAUCUCCAUCGGAGAUUAGUAUUUGGUUUUUCUUUUGUUUUCCGUUAAUCGGAAUCUGUAAAUUUCGCUACGGCGAAUUGAAUAAUCUGACUUUAGGUCAGCUUUUGUAACCGGCUCUGUCUGGUUUAGAUCUCCAUCCAUGUUUUCUGUCGAUGUCGCCGUUUUCUUCACAAAUCCUCUUAGUUUUCACCGUUGUGUUCAAGGAAUAAUAUCUUCAUCAAUUCCUUUUGCUCAGGAAGAGCAAAGAAUCGACUUCACCAAUAUGGGUGUCGUUAUAGAUGAAGCUUCCCUGGCGCUGGUGUUUCUUGGAGAUUUUUGAAGCAGCUUCUUUGUUCUAUCCGGCAGAUCUUCGACGUUUAUUGGAUUUGGAUUCGAGAUCGACAACAAGGAGAAGGCUAUCCAUCACUACUAGACGGAUCGGCGGUGACUGAUCGAAGGCGGUGAUGCUCCGGCGAGAUGAAUUCGGCGGUGCUCGAUUUCCUGACGCGUGGAAUGGCGUAGUACACGUUUCAACACGUGUUAGUAUCUAAAGUUAAAGUUUUUGGAUUAAAGUGAUCGACAGGGGAAUUUAAAACGAAGAUAGUCCUAUACUUCAUACUUGUUCCAUAAAAGCAUGUAGAGCAUUAGUGAAUAAUACUCACAGUAAUAACUAAUAAGUGUUAAAGUUUGAUAUGCAAUAAAUUAUCUUCCCAAAAGUGCGAUAAGAUAUGAUACUUUAAGAGAGAUAAUAACAAGCAUGGAGUAUGAAAAUAGUCUGAAUGCAGAGGAGAAAUAAAGCAAUAAAAAGCGAGUGUUUCAGGUUAAUAUCAUCACCACUGAAGAAGGUGGUUAUGGUGUCU